UACGUAGGGUGCAAGCGUUGUCCGGAAUUAUUGGGCGUAAAGGGCGCGUAGGCGGCUUUGCAAGUGGCGGGUGAAAUCCCUCGGCUUAACCGAGGAACUGCCUCCCAAACUGCUUGGCUUGAGACCAGGAGAGGUGAGUGGAAUUCCCAGUGUAGCGGUGAAAUGCGUAGAUAUUGGGAGGAACACCAGUGGCGAAGGCGGCUCACUGGACUGGUACUGACGCUGAGGCGCGAAAGCGUGGGGAGCGAACAGG
rnacentral:rRNA from 1 species